rnacentral:rRNA from 1 species
GAUGAACGCUAGCGGGAGGCUUAAUACAUGCAAGUCGAGGGGUAACAGGCUAGUUUUUCGGAAUUGGCGCUGACGACCGGCGAACGGGUGAGUAACGCGUACGAAAUCUGCCCUUAAGUAGGGAAUAGCCCUGGGAAACUGGGAUUAAUGCCCUAUAGUAUAGUGAAAUGGCAUCGUUUUACUAUUAAAGCUGCGGCGCUUAAGGAUGAUCGUGCGUACUAUUAGCUAGUUGGUGAGGUAACGGCUCACCAAGGCGACGAUAGUUAGGGGGCGUGAGAGCGUGAUCCCCCACACGGGUACUGAGACACGGACCCGACUCCUACGGGAGGCAGCAGUAAGGAAUAUUGGACAAUGGGCGCAAGCCUGAUCCAGCCAUCCCGCGUGCAGGAUGACGGCCCUAUGGGUUGUAAACUGCUUUUGUGUGAGAAGAACCACCUGGAUUUAUCUGGGUCUGACGGUAUCACAAGAAUAAGCACCGGCUAACUCCG